rnacentral:rRNA from 1 species
CCUACGGGUGGCAGCAGUGAGGAAUAUUGGUCAAUGGGCGGGAGCCUGAACCAGCCAAGUCGCGUGAGGGAAGACGGUCCUAUGGAUUGUAAACCUCUUUAGGCGGGGAGCAAUGCCGGGCACGCGUGCCCGGAGGGAGAGUACCCGCAGAAUAAGCAUCGGCUAACUCCGUGCCAGCAGCCGCGGUAAUACGGAGGAUGCGAGCGUUAUCCGGAUUUAUGGGGUUUAAAGGGUGCGCAGGCGGAAGCGCAAGUCAGCGGUAAAAUUGAGAGGCUCAAACUCUUCCCGCCGUUGAAACUGCGUUUCUUGAGUGGGCGAGAAGUACGCGGAAUGCGUGGUGUAGCGGUGAAAUGCAUAGAUAUCACGCAGAACUCCGAUUGCGAAGGCAGCGUACCGGCGCCCAACUGACGCUCAUGCACGAAAGCGUGGGUAUCGAACAGGAUUAGAUACCCGUGUAGUC